GGGUGCGAUCAUAUCAGCACUAAUGCACCGGAUCCCAUCAGAACACCGCAUUUAGGCGUGCUUGGGCGAGAGUAGUACUAGGAUGGGUGACUUCCCGGGAAGUCCUCGUGUUGCACCCC
rnacentral:rRNA from 1 species